rnacentral:rRNA from 1 species
GACGAACGCUGGCGGCGUGCCUAAUACAUGCAAGUUGAGCGCUGAAGGUUGGUACUUGUACCGACUGGAUGAGCAGCGAACGGGUGAGUAACGCGUGGGGAAUCUGCCUUUGAGCGGGGGACAACAUUUGGAAACGAAUGCUAAUACCGCAUAAAAACUUUAAACACAAGUUUUAAGUUUGAAAGAUGCAAUUGCAUCACUCAAAGAUGAUCCCGCGUUGUAUUAGCUAGUUGGUGAGGUAAAGGCUCACCAAGGCGAUGAUACAUAGCCGACCUGAGAGGGUGAUCGGCCACAUUGGGACUGAGACACGGCCCAAACUCCUACGGGAGGCAGCAGUAGGGAAACUUCGGCAAUGGACGAAAGUCUGACCGAGCAACGCCGCGUGAGUGAAGAAGGUUUUCGGAUCGUAAAACUCUGUUGGUAGAGAAGAACGUUGGUGAGAGUGGAAAGCUCAUCAAGUGACGGUAACUACCCAGAAAGGGACGGCUAACUACGUG